rnacentral:rRNA from 1 species
AGUGAACGCUGGCGGUAGGCCUAACACAUGCAAGUCGAACGGCAGCACAGUAAGAGCUUGCUCUUACGGGUGGCGAGUGGCGGACGGGUGAAGAAUACAUCGGAAUCUACUUUUUCGUGGGGGAUAACGUAGGGAAACUUACGCUAAUACCGCAUACGACCUACGGGUGAAAGCAGGGGAUCUUCGGACCUUGCGCGAUUGAAUGAGCCGAUGUCGGAUUAGCUAGUUGGCGGGGUAAAGGCCCACCAAGGCGACGAUCCGUAGCUGGUCUGAGAGGAUGAUCAGCCACACUGGAACUGAGACACGGUCCAGACUCCUACGGGAGGCAGCAGUGGGGAAUAUUGGACAAUGGGCGAAAGCCUGAUCCAGCCAUACCGCGUGAGUGAAGAAGGCCUUCGGGUUGUAAAGCCCUUUUGUUGGGGAAGAAAAGCAGCGGGUUAAUCCCCCGCUGUUCUGACGGUACCCAAAGAAUAAGCACCGGCUAACUUCGUG